rnacentral:rRNA from 1 species
ACAGAGGUCCCAAGCGUUGUUCGGAUUCACUGGGCGUAAAGGGUGCGUAGGUGGUGAUGUAAGUCGGAUGUGAAAGCUCGGAGCUCAACUCCGAAAUGGCAUUGGAAACUGCGUUGCUAGAGGGUCGGAGGGGGGACUGGAAUUCUCGGUGUAGCAGGGAAAUGCGUAGAUGUCGAGAGGAACACCAGUGGCGAAGGCGAGUCCCUGGACGACUCCUGACACUGAGGCACGUAAGCUAGGGGAGCCAACAG